AUUAAACAGAAGAUAAAUUUAUCUCCCUAAUCACUUAUUUUUAAACAAAAUAUAUUUUUCUUCUCUUUAUUGAAAAUAAUCUCAUCACCACAUAUACUAUGACGCCACUAAGAUUUGAAAUAAUUUUAUAUAUGAAAUAUAAUAGGGCUAAACAUUUUAACUGGGUCUAAGUAUUUUGGGUUAGUGGUUUGAACCCAAUAAGUUAUUAUUGCUAGCGGAUCAGAUCGUUAUAUAUAUAAAGUGAUAAAAUAAGUUAUAGUAUUUUUUACUAUAUCCAACUAAC
rnacentral:lncRNA from 1 species